UAGGGAAUAUUGGGCAAUGGGCGAAAGCCUGACCCAGCAACGCCGCGUGAAGGAUGAAGUAUUUCGGUAUGUAAACUUCGAAAGAAUAGGAAGAAUAAAUGACGGUACUAUUUAUAAGGUCCGGCUAACUACGUGCCAGCAGCCGCGGUAAUACGUAGGGACCAAGCGUUGUUCGGAUUUACUGGGCGUAAAGGGCGCGUAGGCGGCAAUUCAAGUCAUCUGUGAAAUCUCCGGGCUUAACUCGGAACGGUCAGAUGAUACUGCUUUGCUAGAGUGCAGAAGGGGCAAUCGGAAUUCUUGGUGUAGCGGUGAAAUGCGUAGAUAUCAAGAGGAACACCUGAGGUGAAGACGGGUUGCUGGGCUGACACUGACGCUGAGGCGCGAAAGCCAGGGGAGCAAACGGGAUUAGAUACCCUGGUAGUCCCUGAGCGGGCUGGCAAGGCGCAU
rnacentral:rRNA from 1 species